rnacentral:misc_RNA from 1 species
GGCGAUUUUCCGGCGUCGCACGUGGCGGCGGAGCUACAGUGGUAGCUCUGACGGAAACCCUAAUAUAGUAUAAUUGGGUCGAAAAUUGGACUGAUUAUUUAGGCCGCAAUAUCAAAUGAGAGCCGGGUUAAUUGGAUGACCAGCGCUCUCCCGAUCUACAGAUUCUAAAAUCUUCAUUGAUGGCUGAAAUAAAAGAACGCUUGCUUCCACCAAAACCUGCAUCAGCAGCAAAUCUUAGAGAAGUAUCUUAUAGGCCGCCUACCUCUGGUCGUCAACCUUUUCAAGGUAUAGAUGUUUUGGGCCUUAAGAAGCGAGGUCAAGGUCUUCGAUCAUGGAUUCGGGUUGAUACAUCUGGCAAUUCCCAGGUCAUUGAGGUUGACAAGUUCACUAUGAUGCGUCGUUGCGAUCUUCCAGCUCGUGAUCUACGUCUAUUAGAUCCAUUGUUUGUUUACCCAUCAACAAUCCUUGGCAGAGAGAAGGCGAUUGUUGUAAAUCUUGAGCAGAUUCGAUGUAUCAUUACAGCUGAUGAGGUUCUCCUAUUAAAUUCUCUCGAUAGCUAUGUCCUGCAGUAUGUAGUGGAGCUGCAGCGGCGGUUGCAAGCUGCAGGAGCAGGUGAGGUUUGGCAGUCAGAAGG